UUCAAGGGCCGGGAGGCUACUCCAUCACUAUAGUCCCCGGUACCAAACAAAAGGAGGAAAAAAACCGCUGCGGCUUGCGGUGCGGCAGUGUGGAGACCUGUCGUAAAGCUCCCGGGGACUUCGCUGCUCCGGGACGAGAUGGAGAAGGCGGUGGCCGCUCCAUCAAAGCCGAAUGCUAUGGCA
rfam:Firmicutes bacterium ASF500 genomic scaffold adhIg-supercont1.1, whole genome shotgun sequence.